UGAGGGAAAGUUGCAAAGCACUUUGAAGAGAGAGUUAAAAAGGACGUGAAACCGGUGAGGUGGAAACGGACAGAGCCGGCGUAUCUGGCCCGUAUUCAGCCAUUGUAACUUGGGCGUCAGGGAGGCUGUUCUCCAGAUUGGGACAGUGAUCUGACUGCCCUGGAGAAAGUGGUGCAUUUGCGAGUGGAGUGCGCCGAGGUGGUCGGGACAGCGCCAUGAUCUCAGUUUUGAGGCCAGCCCUUCGGGGUCUGGUACCCGGGCUGAGGGAUUGUUGUUUGCUCUGAUUAUUAGGGGAGUGGUUAUCGGGCUCGGUUGGGUGCCGAGCUGGCAGUCGGUGGCGGUCGCAUGCGACACGUGCCAGCGGUCAGUUCGGUCCUGGUCGAGCUCUCAAAACCCCGUCCUCGGUGUAAAAGCUGGUCAUCUGUCCGACCCGUCUUGAAACACGGACCAAGGAGUUUAGCGUGUGCGCGAGUCAUUGGGUGUUCAAAACCCAGAGGCGCAAUGAAAGUGAAGGUGUCCCUUGUGGAGCUGAUGUGUGACCGGGGCCACCGCGGUGGCUCCGAGCAACAUAGUCCCGUUCCGAUCGCAUGCGAUGGGGCGGAGACAGAGCGUACGCGCUGAGACCCGAAAGAUGGUGAACUAUUCCUGAGCAGGACGAAGCCAGAGGAAACUCUGGUGGAAGUCCGAAGCGAUUCUGACGUGCAAAUCGAUCGUCUGACUUGGGUAUAG
rnacentral:rRNA from 1 species